rfam:Bombyx mori DNA, contig: Bm_scaf48_contig25842, strain: p50T/Dazao, build 2, whole genome shotgun sequence.
UUAACUCAAAUUUGUACGGAGUUGGAACGUUUGCCCACGUUUGCCACUAGGGGCGCUGUUUCAACUGCAUACUUUUAGUUA